rnacentral:rRNA from 1 species
GACGAACGCUGGCGGCGUGCUUAACACAUGCAAGUCGAACGGAAAUGCCCUGCGUUUGGGGGGUGCUCGAGUGGCGAACAGGGGAGUAACACGUGAGUAACCUGCACCUGACUUUGGGGUAAGUUAAUGAAACUGGUGCUAAUAUCGGGUAGGAGUUCCUGCUGCAUGGUGGGGUGUGGAGAGAUUCGGCGGUUGGGGAUGGACUCGGGGCUUAUCGGCAUGUUCGUGGGGUAGUGGGUUACCAAAGCUUGGCCGGGUAGCCGGCCUGAGAGGGUGACAGGCCACAUUGGGAACGAGAUAAGGGCCAGAACCCUACGGGAGGGAGGAGUGGGGAAUAUUGCGAAAUGGGCGGAAGACUGAUGCAGAAACGCCGCGUGCGGGAUAACGGGUUUCGGGUUGUAAACCGCUUUCGCAUGUGACGAAGCGUGAGUGGCGGUAAUGGGUAAAGAAGCAACGGCUAACUACGUG